rnacentral:tRNA from 1 species
GCGCCGGUAUUGCAAGGCGUAGUAUCGAUGCCCGGAAAGCAGAAAGUGCGGGUUCGAGUCCUGCCUGGUGCA